UCAGCAGUCCAAAAUAUUAGUCAAUGCUCGAAAGAGUGAACUAGCUAACUGAAAUCAAUAAAAAUAAUUGAUAACAUAAGGGAAAAUAAUGAUAUUACCUUAUUAUUAGUGUCGUCCAAAACUGGUGCCAGAAGACUCGGUAAGGCCAGAGACACAAACGUUAAUCGUCUUAAUCAGGCGUAAAGGGUUUGUAGGCGGCUUUAAAAUUUACUUAUUAAAAAAAAUAAACAUAAAAAAAUAAUAAGUAAAGAAUAAAAGCUAGAAUCAAAUAGAGGAUAUAUGAAAUAAUGCUUAGAGUAGGUCUGAUAUCCUUAGAUACUAAGUAGAAUAUUAAAGGCGAAAGCUUUUUUCCAUUAAUGAUUGACGCUCAGAAACGAAGGUGAGGAUAGGAAAUAGGAUUAGAUACCCAGAAUACUCCUCUCUGUCAACGAUGAAUGGUAGUUAUUAGUAAAAAUUAUUAAUGGCAAUGUUAACACGAUAACCAUUCCGCCUUGUGAGUACAACUGCAAAGUUGAAAACAAAAAAAUUAGUCGGUUUCGGAGCAAACGAAGUGAAGCAUGUUAUUUAAUUCAAUAAUUCCGCAAAA
rnacentral:rRNA from 1 species